rnacentral:rRNA from 1 species
CCCUUAGAUGUCCUGAGCCGCACGCGCGCUACACUGACAUGUUCAACAAGUUUCUCCUAGUUCGACAGGACUGGGAAAUCUUUGAACGCAUGUCGUGAUAGGGAUAGAUCAUUGCAAUUAUUGAUCUUGAACGAGGAAUUCCUAGUAAACGCGAGUCAUCAGCUCGCAUUGAUUACGUCCCUGCCCUUUGUACACACCGCCCGUCGCACCUACCGAUUGAAUGUUUCGGUGAAGAUUCCGGAUAGGACUGAUUUGAUUUAUUUCAUUUCUGACCUAAAAGCUAUCUAAACCUCAACAUUUAGAGGAAGGUGAAGUCGUAACA